AACAAAGCAUUUAUGUUUAGUAAGUCCACCAACUCAGAGGAGGUAGGGAUGACAUGGGUUGUUCUCUUGGUAACUGUGAAUUGGACCAUUUUCCUGUCCUGCUAAGCAUUCCAACUGUAAUGAGUACUUUUGGGUGUCAUGGAAAAUGUAUUGAGUAAAAAAUACAUGAUUGUCUUUAGAACAGGAGUCGAGAAGGUCAGUGUGCAAAAUCUGGACAUGAUAGAUUGCCGCGGGGGAAAAAAAGUGUUAUAGACAAGAUAAAAACGUCAAGACAGAAGAGAGAAAGGAGACCAUGUUGAGACAUUCUCUACAUCCAGAGAGCAACUACAGGAAGAUCACAGAGCUCAGAGGUCUCACCACUUCCCACGUUGUGAUGAGAUUUUCCAAUUCUAUCAAGCUAAAAAUACACCUAAAAAUACAGAUAAUGUAGAAUCUUUAUCCCUGCUUUGACUGUGGGAAGAGCUGCAAAAUAUCAAGGGAUCUGACAGUUCAACAUUCAACACUGGAGAAAAGCCUUACUCCUGCUCUGACCGUUGGAAGAGUUUCUCUCAACAUGGCCACUUAAAAACACACCAACAUAUACAUAAAUGUGAGAUUCCGUAUCAGUUCUCUGACUAGCUAAGAUUAAAAUCAUUCCAUCACUUAAUUAUCAAGAAAUCAUAGAAUACUCUAUUGUAAUCCUAUUGUUUCUCACUGUGAGAGAACUGCACAGGAAAGGGAGUGUUAUAGAAUGUUAGCCUCUCUUUACUUUACUGAUCAGUAUUCACUGAAACCUGCUCAAUUUAUCUGCGAAUUAAAAAUAAAGUUUGUACAUUUGUACUGGUCAAACUCUUCUCUUUUGGAAAAUGAAUUACCAAAAAACAGUGUUUCAAGUGACAUAUUUGCUGUUUUUCUGAAGCUGAACAAGACAGGAAGUUGAAAUGAGCAUCACAAAGCUAAAUCUGACCUAUUCUCUAACAUGUUUUGUCAGCGUAAGCAGCUGUGAGACCUGCUAAAGUACUGUUGAUCUACUGAAUCAUUGUAGUUUUUUGGGGGUUAUCUUUACAGUAAAUGUAAUGAUUUUGUUUAAUUCAUGAAUUUCAAAUAAAUAUAUCUGUAUUUAUCUACUCAA